UUAGAAUCUCUAAUUCGUCAUCUUACAACAAAUGGGUUGGUUUCGCGAACUCAUGGAAAUAAACAUAAGCAGCCAAGAAAUGCAUACAGUUUUGAUGUCUUGAGAGAUGCUGCCCAGUUCAUUACCAAUUAUGCAGAGGAGCAUUGCCUGCCCCAGCCGGCAGCAGUCAACAGAAAUAUUGGAGGGCACAUACUGCUACCAUGCAGUGAAAGCAAACAGUCUCUGUAUAAAAUAUAUAAAGAUAUUUGUACUGAUAACAACAAAACAGCAGUAGGACUUACAACCUUUAAAGGAGUCUGGCAGAGUUGCUGUCCCAAUAUAAAAUUUAUGUCCCCCCAGACUGACGUAUGUCCUGUCUGUGAACAGCACAAAGAUGACAUUCAAUCGGCGAUGACGGAAAACGAAAAGUUAGCAGCGCUCGACCAAUAUAGUACACACUUGCAUGAAGUUAAAGCAGAACGACAGUUGUAUAACCAGUGUGUUACAAAUGCAUGAGAUGAGAUAGCUGAGCAACCCGUCCCGGUAAAUCCAGCCCCAGGGAUGUCGGUGGACCUACAACAUGUUCAUUAUACAUUCGACUACUCUCAAACUGUAUCUAUCCUGCAUCAUGUCAAGUCAGACCUUUAUACUUCGCUACUCCUAGAAAGGUCCAGCUGUUUGGAGUUGCUAUGGAAGGUAUAAGGAAGCAGUUUAACUUCAUUAUAGACGAGGAUUCAACACCGGGGGAAAACGGAACAAAGAUCAAGGGCGCAAUAGGCGUGAUUUCAAUGCUUCACUACUGUUUUGAGAAUUUUGGACUGGGUGAAAAAGAAUGUCACUUACACUGUGAUAAUGCUUCAGGGAAAUCAAAAACAAAUUCAUGCUUGCAUAUUUGAUGUGGAGAACGCUGACUGGCAAGCAUUCAAAAAUAAAUUUGCAUAUGCAAGUUCCCUAUCAUGGCAAAAGCCUGGUAGAUGCUGGCUUUGCUUACAUCAAAAAAUCAUACAGAAGGGCUGAGGUUGACUCUUUAGAACAAUUAGCAUCCAUGGUUAGGAAAAGCACAAGAUCCAACGAAGUCAUUGUAUUUGGUGGGGCUGGCGGAGAAUGGCUUGACUGGAAGACAUUUACUUCAGAGUACUUCAUUCCUUUCAAGGGCAUCAGAAAAUAUAGACACUUUGUCUUCCAAGCAGAUAAACCAGGCAUUGUCUUAGCCAGAGAAUUACCAGAUUCACCCGGCACAGAAGUAAAACUGCUAAAACAGGGGAUCGAUUUAGGCACCAUCCAACCUCCAAAUGUUAUUCCUGCAGCUGGAUUAAGUAGAGAAAGAAGUGAAUACUUGUUUAAAUUCAUCAGACAAUUUGUCAGGGCCCCGCACAAGGACGCCGUCGCUCCUUCCCCUGACGCCCAGGAAG